GGCACAUGGAGGUUCCCAGGCCAGGGGUCUAAUCGGAGCUACAGCUGCCGGCCUACACCACAGCCACAGCAACUGGGGAUCCGAGCCGCGUCUGCGACCGACACCUCGGCUGACGGCAACGCUGGGUCCUUAACCCACUGAGCGAGGCCAGGGAUGGAACCUGCAACCUCAUGGUUCCCAGUCGGAUUCGUCCUGAUCUUUGGAGACUUCACGGUCUUUCAAAGGUGGACCACAUCGCUGGGCCUCUGGACUAUUCUCUGGGCCAAGGGUAGACACCUCAGGCCGAGAGGUUCAAACUGGAGGCAGCUGAGAAGGGUCACACUACACCCAAGAGGUUUUCUGGGAAAGCGAACUCUACAAUAUGACUUUCCCCCUGAAACGUGUAUGUGCUUUCAACAUCAGAGGAAACCUCAGUCUUACGUGAUUAUCUUCAAAGACAUUGCUGUGAAUAGCAUUUUGAACAUGCAAGUUUCUCAGAGCGAGUAUGUGACAACGUAGGCCAAAGCAGAAGGCGCCGAACACAGAUGGCAAUAUAUGAUCUUCCCAGUCAAGACGUCUAAGUCCGAAGCGCAGUCCUGUCGGCAUUUGGAUACCUCGAAAGGAACAGGUAAGAAACACAGGUGCACGCAGAAGACUGGACAGUGUCCCAGAGAGAGAAGCCUUUCCAGUUCGUACGUACGUCUAUAAUCAACAACCAACCGGAGCAGGGAUACAGGAAGUCAGGCAGCAAGCUUACAGGAGGUGACCGUAAUUUACUCUAAUCUCCCCCCGCCCCCGCCAAGAAUGGGUUGGGAUGGGUGGCACAUGCUCGUGUUUGGGAAGACGUCCUGAGUCUUCAGCAUUUCCCUUCAAAUCCAGAGACUGUUGCUGGUCGACAGCAACCCAGGGCAUCCGCUCCACUGACAGGCGACACCGCCUUCUCCCUUCUUGCGAGCGCGCUCGAGCGGCUCUCCCGACCCCACCAAGCGGACCGCCAGAUAGGGCGGGGACCCGGGGCGAGGGGGGCGGGGCCGGGGUCCCGGGCAAAGACGGAGUGGGGGUGGAAGUCCAGGGCGAAGGGGUAGGGGUCGCGGUCCCCAGACGAAGGGGAAGAAAGUUGUGGUCCCAGGUGAGGGUGGCAGGAGUCGCAGCCCUCAGCGACCGCGCAGCCUCCUCCGGUCGCGCCGGGGUGGGGC
ensembl:lncRNA